AAGAUCCUGAGGAAGUUCUUUUCUUCCAUUUGAUUUUACUUCCAUAGCUGGUGGUUGUGAUACACCAACAGAAGCAACCCCUGAGGCAGGCAUAGAGAUGACUUGAGGGGCUCCAAAAGAUGGUUUACUCAAAGCUGCUUGCACAAUGGGAGCCACUGACAAAUUCCAAGACUGAUUAGCUGAAGCUCCAUCAAAUGGCAGUGCAAAUUGUUGAGUAGACUGACCACUAGAAGCAGGGUAUAGAAAUGGUUGCCGAUGCUGCACACUAGGCCAUUGCCCUGUUUCAUUAACUUUGACAAAGGUACCACCAUUGACAGGCAUUACAGAUGCCAACCCAGGAGCAGCUGCUGAAACACCACCAGGAUGAAACAUUGUAGCAGCAGUGUUGAGGGGCAAUAUGGGUGCAUUCCCAGCUGGCACAGCAGGUGGAGUUCCACUUGGUAAAUUUGCUGCAUUGCCAACAGAUGCAACUAAUGCAGCAACAGAACCACUUGGCAUUCCAGAUAUUUGACCAGGUACAGAUGCUGG
rnacentral:misc_RNA from 1 species